CUACGGGAGGCAGCAGUGAGGAAUAUUGGACAAUGGGUGCGAGCCUGAUCCAGCCAUCCCGCGUGAAGGACGACGGCCCUAUGGGUUGUAAACUUCUUUUGUAUAGGGAUAAACCUACCCUCGUGAGGGUAGCUGAAGGUACUAUACGAAUAAGCACCGGCUAACUCCGUGCCAGCAGCCGCGGUAA
rnacentral:rRNA from 1 species